rnacentral:rRNA from 1 species
AUUGAACGCUGGCGGCAUGCCUUACACAUGCAAGUCGAACGGCAGCACGGGUGCUUGCACCUGGUGGCGAGUGGCGAACGGGUGAGUAAUACAUCGGAACAUGUCCUGUAGUGGGGGAUAGCCCGGCGAAAGCCGGAUUAAUACCGCAUACGAUCUACGGAUGAAAGCGGGGGGCCUUCGGGCCUCGCGCUGUAGGGUUGGCCGAUGGCUGAUUAGCUAGUUGGUGGGGGAAAGGCCUACCAAGGCGACGAUCAGUAGGUGGUCUGAGAGGGCGAGCAGCCACACUGGGACUGAGACACGGCCCAGACUCCUACGGGAGGCAGCAGUGGGGAAUUUUGGACAAUGGGCGAAAGCCUGAUCCAGCAAUGCCGCGUGUGUGAAGAAGGCCUUCGGGUUGUAAAGCACUUUUGUCCGGAAAGAAAUCCUUGGCCCUAAUACGGUCGGGGGAUGACGGUACCGGAAGAAUAAGCACCGGCUAACUACGUG